rnacentral:rRNA from 1 species
AUACGUAGGGUGCAAGCGUUAAUCGGAAUUACUGGGCGUAAAGCGUGCGCAGGCGGAUUUGUAAGACAGAGGUGAAAUCCCCGGGCUCAACCUGGGAACUGCCUUUGUGACUGCAAGGCUUGAGUACGGCUGAGGGGGACGGAAUUUCGCGUGUAGCAGUGAAAUGCGUAGAUAUGAGGAGGAACACCGAUGGCGAAGGCAAUCCCCUGGGACUGUACUGACGCUCAUGCACGAAAGCGUGGGGAGCAAACAGGAUUAGAUACCCUGGUAGUCCACGCCCUAAACGAUGUCAACUGGUUGUUAGGGCUACAUUGACUCAGUGACUAAGCUAACGCGUGAAGUGGACCGCCUGGGGAGUACGGCCGCAAGGUUGAAACUCAAAUGAAUUGACGGGG